CUUUAACAAUCACUUUCCAGUUAUUCUCCUGCAGUCUGUAAUGAAAAAAAACACAAAUCCUAGAAAUUCACUCUGACACUGUGCAGCCAGGGGUCAGAUCAGGUUUCCACAGACAAAGAGGAGCAGCCUGCCUCUGGAGAACAAAACCCCAAUCGUAUCCAAUCUACAAAACAUUGGCCCUCGAGGCCUAACUAUUUCAAAGGGAAUAUAAUGAGCUUCCGUAGAAAGGUUAACAUUUGAAGGUUUUUCUGAUCUGAC